CGGGACACGUGGUAUCCUGUCUGAAUAUGGGGGGACCAUCCUCCAAGGCUAAAUACUCCUGACUGACCGAUAGUGAACCAGUACCGUGAGGGAAAGGCGAAAAGAACCCCGGCGAGGGGAGUGAAAAAGAACCUGAAACCGUGUACGUACAAGCAGUGGGAGCACGCUUAGGCGUGUGACUGCGUACCUUUUGUAUAAUGGGUCAGCGACUUAUAUUCUGUAGCAAGGUUAACCGAAUAGGGGAGCCGAAGGGAAACCGAGUCUUAACUGGGCGUUAAGUUGCAGGGUAUAGACCCGAAACCCGGUGAUCUAGCCAUGGGCAGGUUGAAGGUUGGGUAACACUAACUGGAGGACCGAACCGACUAAUGUUGAAAAAUUAGCGGAUGACUUGUGGCUGGGGGUGAAAGGCCAAUCAAACCGGGAGAUAGCUGGUUCUCCCCGAAAGCUAUUUAGGUAGCGCCUCGUGAAUUCAUCUCCGGGGGUAGAGCACUGUUUCGGCAAGGGGGUCAUCCCGACUUACCAACCCGAUGCAAACUACGAAUACCGGAGAAUGUUAUCACGGGAGACACACGGCGGGUGCUAACGUCCGUCGUGAAGAGGGAAACAACCCAGACCGCCAGCUAAGGUCCCAAAGUCAUGGUUAAGUGGGAAACGAUGUGGGAAGGCCCAGACAGCCAGGAUGUUGGCUUAGAAGCAGCCAUCAUUUAAAGAAAGCGUAAUAGCUCACUGGUCGAGUCGGCCUGCGCGGAAGAUGUAACGGGGCUAAACCAUGCACCGAAGCUGCGGCAGCGACGCUUAUGCGUUGUUGGGUAGGGGAGCGUUCUGUAAGCCUGCGAAGGUGUGCUGUGAGGCAUGCUGGAGGUAUCAGAAGUGCGAAUGCUGACAUAAGUAACGAUAAAGCGGGUGAAAAGCCCGCUCGCCGGAAGACCAAGGGUUCCUGUCCAACGUUAAUCGGGGCAGGGUGAGUCGACCCCUAAGGCGAGGCCGAAAGGCGUAGUCGAUGGGAAACAGGUUAAUAUUCCUGUACUUGGUGUUACUGCGAAGGGGGGACGGAGAAGGCUAUGUUGGCCGGGCGACGGUUGUCCCGGUUUAAGCGUGUAGGCUGGUUUUCCAGGCAAAUCCGGAAAAUCAAGGCUGAGGCGUGAUGACGAGGCACUACGGUGCUGAAGCAACAAAUGCCCUGCUUCCAGGAAAAGCCUCUAAGCAUCAGGUAACAUCAAAUCGUACCCCAAACCGACACAGGUGGUCAGGUAGAGAAUACCAAGGCGCUUGAGAGAACUCGGGUGAAGGAACUAGGCAAAAUGGUGCCGUAACUUCGGGAGAAGG
rnacentral:rRNA from 1 species